AUGCCCUUUCCUCCUAAACCAUCCAAGUCAAAGGAUGAUGAGGAUUUUGAGCGCUUUGCUGAAAUGAUUAGACCUAUUUUCCUACGUAUGCGCUUAACUGAUAUGCUUAAAGUAAAUCCUUAUGCUAAAUAUAUGAAGGAUAUCAUCACAAAUAAAAGAAAGAUACCGGAAGCUGAAAUUUCCACCAUUCUUGCUAAUUACACUUUUAAGAGUGGAAUACCAAAGAAACUUGGAGAUCUGGGUGUACCAACUAUAGCAUGCUCUAUUAAAAGAAAUUAUGUUAAAACUGCUUUAUGUGAUCUUGGAGCCGGUGUUAGUGUUAUGCCUCUCUCUUUAUAUCGUAGACUUGAAUUGAAUAAGUUGACACCUGCUAAAAUAUCUUUGCAAAUGGCUGAUAAAUCAACUGCUAUACCUAUCGGUAUUUGUGAGGAUGUGCCUGUUGUGGUUGCAAAUGUCACUAUCUUAACGGACUUUGUUAUUCUUGACAUUCCCGAGGACGAUAGUAUGUCUAUUAUCCUUGGUAGACCUUUUAUUAAUAAUGCAGGGGCUGUUAUUGAUUGCAACAAAUGCAAUGUCACUUUUCAUGUUAAUGGUAAUGAGCAUACGGUACACUUUUCGAGGAAACAAUCUCAAGUACAUAGCAUCAAUUCUAUUGAAAAAGUUCCAACUAUCAUUUUUGGAGGUUUUGAAUUUCCUCUCCCUACUGUCAAGAAGAAGUAUGAUAUUCUUAUUGUUGGGGAUUUCCAUAUCCCCGUUGAGGUAACUUAG
rnacentral:rRNA from 1 species